rnacentral:lncRNA from 1 species
AUCGUUUUUAAUAUAAUACGACAUUUAUUGACAGAACGGGCUAAUACUCGAUGUGUUGUUUUGAUUCAGAAUUCACGGAAAUUACUUCCGGAAGGGAGACAACUCGAAACGAUAAUAUGGAAGACUCCAUUUCGCCUGAAGGGUGCUCUACGAUGUGGACUAUAUUUAUUUUAAUUUAAAUGAUGCGUAUGAUUUAAAAUUAUGCAACAACAAUAACCCUCAAUAGCAGACAUACAUAGAAAAGAUCCCAUGAGUUAUAAAUUAAUUAAUUGAGUGGGAUAUCCAGAGCAACCAUUCAAUCUAAAACCCCUUGAAGUCAAGAAAACUAUACGCAUGCGCAUAAUUUCCAAAACAAACCCUGUAGCAAGAACAUAUAUUAAACGAC